GCGAAAGUCGUAGCUGGUAAGAAAAUCCCUCGGCCUAGGCUAUGCGGGUUCGACCCCCGCCGUCCGCACCA
rnacentral:tRNA from 1 species